rnacentral:misc_RNA from 1 species
UAAUAAGUGUUUUACUGCACUUUUUAAAAAUCAGUAUUCACCUUGUGUGCAAUGUUUGCUGACGAGUUCGCGUUUUUGCGCGUUCUUGGCAGUAUAAUACCAACCCUUUAUUGAAAUUUUUUGUCUGAAGAUUUUUGAAUACAUAAUUCGAAAUA